AUUGAACGCUGGCGGCAUGCCUUACACAUGCAAGUCGAACGGUAACAGGUCUUCGGAUGCUGACGAGUGGCGAACGGGUGAGUAAUACAUCGGAACGUGCCUAGUAGUGGUGGAUAACUACUCGAAAGAGUGGCUAAUACCGCAUGAGAUCUACGGAUGAAAGCAGGGGAUCGCAAGACCUUGUGCUACUAGAGCGGCCGAUGGCAGAUUAGGUAGUUGGUGGGAUAAAAUCUUACCAAGCCGACGAUCUGUAGCUGGUCUGAGAGGACGAUCGGCCACACUGGGACUGAGACACGGGCCAGACUCAUACGGGUGGCAGCAGUGGGGAAUUUUGGACAAUGGGCGCAAGGCUGCUCGAGCAAUGCCGCGUGCGGGAUGAAGGCCUUCGGUUUGUAAACUGCUUUUGUACGGAACGAAAAGCCCCGGGUUAAUACCCUGGGGUCAUGACGGUACCGUAAGAAUAAGCACCGGCUAACUACGUGCCAGCCGCCGCCGUAA
rnacentral:rRNA from 1 species